rnacentral:misc_RNA from 1 species
AAAGGUGCAUGAGUGGUGUUUGGUUUGUUACGGGUGGUUGGCUCUUUGCUUGCGCAACAACUUCCACCUGGCAUACCUCUUCAGUCUUGUGUCAAUGCUUGUAUCGCAUUGAAUGCACGGUGGGUUUCUUGUGUUGCAUUCCUAAUUGAUGGUAUCAUUUGAUGAAUUGAUGUCCAUUUUCRUCUUGUGUUGCGCAUGCGAUGUGAGAUGAACCUUAAAGCAGCCUUUGUGAUCCACUCUUUUGAUGCACACGCAUUGAUUUUGUGGCCCAUUGAGUGUUGCUUGGUCUCAUGGAUAUGGAACCUUGUGUGGGCAUGGGAUCUUUUACUAGUUCCUUGUUUGCCCUAGUUAAGUUUUUCAAAUACGAUUUCCUAUCAUGUCUAAACGUGGUAGGCUAUAUCGAAUAUGAAUGCUACCUGGUUGAUCCUGCCAGUAGUCAUAUG